rnacentral:rRNA from 1 species
CCCUUAGAUGUUCUGGGCUGCACACGCGCUACACUGAAGGGAUCAGCGUGUUCUUUUCCUGGUCCGAAAGGAUCGGGUAACCCGCUGAACCCCCUUCGUGGUAGGGAUCGGAGCUUGCAAUUAUUCUCCGUGAACCAGGAAUUCCCAGUAAGCGCAAGUCAUAAGCUUGCGUUGAUUACGUCCCUGCCCUUUGUACACACCGCCCGUCGCUACUACCGAUUGGACGUUUUAGUGAGGAUUUUGGACUGAGCCAAUGGUGGUUCACACCACUGUUGUGCGUGGAAAGAUCUCCAAACUUGAGCGUUUAGAGGAAGUAAAAGUCGUAACA